GCAGUGUCUGCAAAAGGAGGACACAAACCAAAACAGAAGAACAGCCGCCCUGCUUGGUCUUCCAUGCUAUCUUUCAGAGGAUUCCACCGACAUAAUCCGGAUGUGUGACGCUCAUGGAGAAAACCUUGAUGUGAUCAUGAAAGGAAUGCAGGUUGGACUGUUGAUUGGACACGAAGGCACUCUGCAAGAUGCAUUUCCUUUGGAAGUCUUCAAUGUGGCUGUGGUAGCAGAGGAGAAGAUCAUCCUACAUAAGCUCGGAGACAUCCCCACAGGC